rnacentral:SRP_RNA from 13 species
GCCGGUGCAGUGGUGCAUGACUGUAGUCCAAGCUACUCAGGAGGCUGAGGCUGGAGGAUCGCUUGAGUCCAGGAGUUCUGGGCUGUAGUGCGCUAUGCCAAUUGGGUGUCCGCACUAAGUUCAGCAUCAAUAUGGUGACCUGGGAGUGGGGGACCACCAGGUUGCCUAAGGAGGGGUGAAGCAGCCCAGAUCAGAAACGGUGCAGGUCAAAACUCCCAUGCUGAUCAGUAGUGGGAUCAUACCUGUGAAUAGCCACUGCACCCCAGCCAGGGCAACAUAGGGAGACUCUGUCUCUU